rnacentral:rRNA from 1 species
AGGGCACCACCAGGAGUGGAGCCUGCGGCUUAAUUUGACUCAACACGGGAAAACUCACCCGGCCCGGACACUGGAAGGAUUGACAGAUUGAGAGCUCUUUCUUGAUUCAGUGGGUGGUGGUGCAUGGCCGUUCUUAGUUGGUGGAGUGAUUUGUCUGGUUAAUUCCGAUAACGAACGAGACUCUAGCCUACUAAAUAGAUCGUCGGCUUACAAACGCCGGCGAGACUUCCUAGAGGGACAGGCGGUGAUUCAACCGCACGAAACGGAGCAAUAACAGGUCUGUGAUGCCCUUAGAUGUCCGGGGCCGCACGCGCGCUGCACUGAAGUGAUCAGCGUGCUUUUUCAACCUACUCUGUCAAGAGUGGGGAACCCAAUGAACCUUCUUCGUGAUUGGGAUAGGGGAUUGUAAUUAUUCCCCUUGAACGAGGAAUUCCCAGUAAGCGCGAGUCAUAAGCUCGCGUUGAUUACGUCCCUGCCCUUUGUACACACCGCCCGUCGCUACUACCGAUUGAAUGUUUU